rnacentral:lncRNA from 1 species
CAGAGCCUCUCCCUCUGGCCUCUUGGCUGUGCAGCUACCUGGUUCCACACUACAGAGGCACGGGGGACAUAAAGCCCAUUGUCCUGAGCUGAAGAAGUGAAGAAGAGAGAGUGGGCCUCUCUCAGCCUCCCUGAUGAAAACUGAAGCCCACUGGAAAAGUGAAGAGAAUCUCUGCAAUAAAGGCACACGAGACCACCAUACUUGUCUUCCUAAGGGUUAA